AACGAACGCUGGCGGCAUGCCUAACACAUGCAAGUCGAACGAAGUCUUCGGACUUAGUGGCGCACGGGUGCGUAACGCGUGGGAAUCUGCCCUUGGGUACGGAAUAACUCAGAGAAAUUUGUGCUAAUACCGUAUAAUGUCUUCGGACCAAAGAUUUAUCGCCCAAGGAUGAGCCCGCGUAAGAUUAGCUAGUUGGUGGGGUAAAAGCCUACCAAGGCGACGAUCUUUAGCUGGUCUGAGAGGAUGAUCAGCCACACUGGGACUGAGACACGGCCCAGACUCCUACGGGAGGCAGCAGUGGGGAAUAUUGGACAAUGGGCGAAAGCCUGAGCCAGCAAUGCCGCGUGAGUGAUGAAGGCCCUAGGGUUGUAAAGCUCUUUUACCAGGGAUGAUAAUGACAGUACCUGGAGAAUAAGCUCCGGCUAACUCCGUG
rnacentral:rRNA from 1 species